UCAGGUAUGGUGUAGCGGUAACACGUCCCUUACUCAUUCCGAAGUGCAACAAAAAUUAUGGGGACAUCCGGAGUUCAAAUCUCUGUACCUGAA